rnacentral:misc_RNA from 1 species
UGUGGGAGCGAGCUUGCUCGCGAUAGCGGUAUGUCAGUCAACAUCAAGUCGACCGGUAAGACGCCAUCGCGAGCAAGCUCGCUCCCACA